CAUGAGACGAAGGGGCAUGGUUUCAGCUUCAUUUCUCUCUUUGCUGCAAACGCCAAGGAAGACGGGGGAAAGGAAGACGAAGGGGAGUCCUUUCCCCUUCGUCUUCCUUAGUCUUCUUAUAAAGGUGCGUCCAAGCCUUUGAGAAGAUCAGAGGAUCACAACAGAAGGUUUGCGAAGGUGAUCAAAGAGCACAAGCGAAGUUGUGAGGUGAUCAGAGAGCGCUAGAGAACGUCCAGAGGCUGGGAUUUGGUUCAUGAAAAAGUUCGAGGAAGUUCCGAGUGGUGAUCUUCUCGGCGACAAUAGUAGCGACUUCUCCGGCGGUUCUUCGACGAUUUUUUCGGGAGAUCACUGAUCUGAAACACAUAUACCGACCAAUGGGGGUAUAGAGGCCAAGAUUGAUGCUGACAAUGACAUUUCAGAAACACCAGCAUUGAGAGAACACUAAGUGCAAAAUGCUAUUAAUUUUCUAUCACACCCAAAAGUCAGAAGUCAUGGUCAGUCUCAAGUCCGGAUAAAGGAGGAGGGUUGCGUUAAAUUGUCAGUCAAGGUUAAACUAAGGCAAAUGUUCAAUGAACCCAAGUCAGAAGUUCCCCAAUUGUACAUAAGCGUUCUUUUCUAGAAAAAAAAAAAAAGGCUUAACCAAGGAGUAAAUAGAUGAAGCCUUCCAGCGCGUGCCUGAUCCAUCAUCCAGUGCUCCAAAUGGACAAGUUUACUCCACAAACCCUGGUAAUAUAUUGCAAUGUGUGGUUGGUGCGUCGGAUGAAGGAUUCAUGCUCAAGUAAUGAAAAAUAACAAAAUUUCCCUAAUUGUUUUAGCAUCAUCGUUAAUUAUGUACACAAAAAGUCUCUGAAUUUAUGCAAGUGAAAUUGAAAGUUGGAAGAUGCAAAUUUAACUGUGCUGCAUGAGAUGCUCUGUAACAUAAUCAGCAGUUCUAUUUCUGUUUGUUAAUUAAUUAUGUUGAACUUUUAGUAGACAAGUGAUUGCAUAAAUGGAUAUUGGGCAUGUGAUUAGGUAAUUUUAAAACUAGGGUAUGUGAUUUGGAUAUUUUGGAAAUUUUCCUACGCGGUUCGGUAAAUAAUUUACCGUAUAUGGUUGUGAUACUAAAAAUAUUUUCUAGCCAUUCCUUUUGACUAAACUUUGUAUCUGGCAUUGGAGUCUCUCCUCACGGCCAUUGAUUAUUCAUCCUCCAGAGGAUCAGGUUCGUUUGUAGCAAAUGUAUAUAUGCAUUAUAUUUCUACACGCAUAUAUGUCUGAGCGAGUGCUAAGCAUAUGUAUUUCCCAUUACCUUCAAUUUCCUAUAUAAAUAUAUAUACACAUUAUGUCCACGCAUAUCUGCUUGUGCUACAGUGCUAGAAUCUCAAGACAACAAUAUGGAAGGCAAUGAUUUGUCAGUAAUAUUGUCGUUCUACCAUUCACAAUUAACAUAUUAUAUAGAUAUAUAUAUAUAUAUUACUUUAAAUUGUUUGAUGUGAGACUAUUUUACCUAUCUAUUUAAACUAAUUUUUUAACUUAAUUGUUUGGAAGCUUUUACAAACCUUCAUUGAAGCCGAUGAUUUUCCUCUCCUUUUACCUUUCACUGUCAAUGUAGGUUACCAUCUCCAUUUAUAAGAAGGUUGUAUGCCCAUUAUAUCUCAUAAUCUCUUGAUUUAAUAUUGAGUUUGUGUACAUCAUCUCAGUUUUGAAUCUGUUG